AUGUCUGGGAAACUGCCUGAUGGAGGGGGAUAACUACUGGAAACGGUAGCUAAUACCGCAUAAUGUCGCAAGACCAAAGUGGGGGACCUUCGGGCCUCAUGCCAUCAGAUGUGCCCAGAUGGGAUUAGCUAGUAGGUGGGGUAAUGGCUCACCUAGGCGACGAUCCCUAGCUGGUCUGAGAGGAUGACCAGCCACACUGGAACUGAGACACGGUCCAGACUCCUACGGGAGGCAGCAGUGGGGAAUAUUGCACAAUGGGCGCAAGCCUGAUGCAGCCAUGCCGCGUGUGUGAAGAAGGCCUUCGGGUUGUAAAGCACUUUCAGCGGGGAGGAAGGCGAUAAGGUUAAUAACCUUGUCGAUUGACGUUACCCGCAGAAGAAGCACCGGCUAACUCCGUGCCAGCAGCCGCGGUAAUACGGAGGGUGCAAGCGUUAAUCGGAAUUACUGGGCGUAAAGCGCACGCAGGCGGUCUGUCAAGUCGGAUGUGAAAUCCCCGGGCUCAACCUAGGAACUGCAUUCGAAACUGGCAGGCUAGAGUCUUGUAGAGGGGGGUAGAAUUCCAGGUGUAGCGGUGAAAUGCGUAGAGAUCUGGAGGAAUACCGGUGGCGAAGGCGGCCCCCUGGACAAAGACUGACGCUCAGGUGCGAAAGC
rnacentral:rRNA from 1 species